rnacentral:lncRNA from 1 species
CCAGAGCCAAGAAAACUGAUCUUUGCAACCAUGAGGCUCCUUCCCUGAAGCCAGAUCCAGUGGUCUGUGCUGCAGGCUAGACUCCUGGAAACUCCAGGUACCUUGUCGAGAAAUAACGGCCUACUGCUUUCAGCUUCAAAAGACAGUACGGGCUUAGCUCUGGGAUAUUCCGAAAGCUGGUCUGCACCUCAUUUCUGGUAUGAGGAAGCGCACUCAGAAAAGCUCAUGAAGGAAUUUCUUCCCAUUUUCUCCUAUUCAUUGACACAGCCAUUUAUUUAAGGAGAGAAUGUGUAUGGAGCAUCCACCAGGACUCAGGCGCUGCAGAGGCGGAGAUCGGUGGCACGUGUGCCACCAUACAGGAGCAACCAAUUACUACUGGGGAUAACAGAAGGUGCCCAGAAGAAGAAAUGCAUGGAGUACCAAGGAUCACGUCUUGUAAUUCCUCCAUCUCCCCACAUGGAAUCACAGGUUUGGCAAUUUAUCUCUUCACAUACAUGAAACUUCAAACCAUAAAAUUAUAAGACAGUUCUCAUUUAUUGUUUCCAGCUGUAGUUACCUUACAGAUAAAGAGUUUACUCUCUGAUUUUGUUUGUGCUACUGCCCG